rnacentral:rRNA from 1 species
GACGAACGCUGGCGGCGUGCCUAAUACAUGCAAGUCGAGCGAAUCUGAGGGAGCUUGCUCCCAAAGAUUAGCGGCGGACGGGUGAGUAACACGUGGGCAACCUGCCUGUAAGACUGGGAUAACUCCGGGAAACCGGGGCUAAUACCGGAUAAUAUCUAUUUAUACAUAUAAUUAGAUUGAAAGAUGGUUCUGCUAUCACUUACAGAUGGGCCCGCGGCGCAUUAGCUAGUUGGUGAGGUAACGGCUCACCAAGGCGACGAUGCGUAGCCGACCUGGGAGGGUGAUCGGCCACACUGGGACUGAGACACGGCCCAGACUCCUACGGGAGGCAGCAGUAGGGAAUCUUCCGCAAUGGACGAAAGUCUGACGGAGCAACGCCGCGUGAGUGAUGAAGGUUUUCGGAUCGUAAAACUCUGUUGUUAGGGAAGAACAAGUACCGGAGUAACUGCCGGUACCUUGACGGUACCUAACCAGAAAGCCACGGCUAACUACGUGCCAGCAGCCGCCGCAGUAA